GGAGACGUAGCUCAACGGUAGAGCUCACAGGCACUAUCUAACGCUGAAGAGCAGUAGGAUGGACUGCCCACGGGUGGAACCUCUGCUCCCAAGUGUCGGGUUUCGAACUGUGGUAUUGAGCUGGUUCGACUCCAGCCGUCUCCA